rnacentral:rRNA from 1 species
GAUGAACGCUGGCGGCGUGCCUAAUACAUGCAAGUCGAGCGAACACACGAGGAUCUUGCUCCUGUGACGUUAGCGACGGGCGGGUGAGUAACACGUGGAUAACCUACCUAUAAGACUGGGAUAACUUCGGGAAACCUAAUCUCAUACCGGAUCAUAUAUUGAACCGCAUGGUUCAAUAGUGCAAGACCUUUUUGCUGGCACGUUUAGGGGGAUCCUCGCCGCAUUAGCUAGUUGGUACGGUAACGGCUUACCAAGGCAACGAUGCGUAGCCGACCUGAGAGGGUGAUCGGCCACACUGGAACUGAGACACGGUCCAGACUCCUACGGGAGGCAGCAGUAGGGAAUCUUGCGCAAUGGGCGAAAGCCUGACGGAGCAACGCCGCGUGCGUGAUGAAGGUCUUCGGAUCGUAAACCUCUGUUAUUAGGGAAGAACAAAUGUGUAAGUAAAUAUGCACGUCUUGACGGUACCUAAUCAGAAAGCCACGGCUAACUACGUG